rnacentral:tRNA from 1 species
GUCUGGUAUAGUGGAAAGUACACGAGGAUGUAAACCGCGAGGCGUGGGUCCAAGUCCCACCAGACA